CCCUUAGAUGUUCUGGGCCGCACACGCGCUACACUGAAGGAGGCAGCGUGUACUCCUGGAUCGAAAGAUUUGGGUAACCCGCGAAUCUCCUUCGUGCUCGGGAUUGAGGUUUGCAAUUAUCCUUCAUGAACGAGGAAUUCCCAGUAAGUGCAAGUCAUAAGCUUGCGCUGACUACGUCCCUGCCCUUUGUACACACCGCCCGUCGCUACUACCGAUUGAAUGAUUUAGUGAGGACUUCGGACUGGGACCGAUGCGGCUUUCGGGCUGCGUCGGUAUUCUGGAAAGAUGUCCAAACUGUAUCAUUUAGAGGAAGUAAAAGUCGUAACA
rnacentral:rRNA from 1 species